GGUUAAGCGACUAAGCGUACACGGUGGAUGCCCUGGCAGUCAGAGGCGAUGAAGGACGUGCUAAUCUGCGAAAAGCGUCGGUAAGGUGAUAUGAACCGUUACAGCCGGCGAUGUCCGAAUGGGGAAACCCAGUGCAAUUCGUUGCACUAUCGUUAACUGAAUACAUAGGUUAACGAGGCGAACCGGGGGAACUGAAACAUCUAAGUACCCCGAGGAAAAGAAAUCAACCGAGAUUCCCCCAGUAGCGGCGAGCGAACGGGGAGCAGCCCAGAGUCUGAAUCAGCUUGUGUGUUAGUGGAACGGUCUGGAAAGUCCGACGGUACAGGGUGAUAGUCCCGUACACCAAAAUGCACAGGCUGUGAACUCGAAGAGUAGGGCGGGACACGUGGUAUCCUGUCUGAAUAUGGGGGGACCAUCCUCCAAGGCUAAAUACUCCUGACUGACCGAUAGUGAACCAGUACCGUGAGGGAAAGGCGAAAAGAACCCCGGCGAGGGGAGUGAAAAAGAACCUGAAACCGUGUACGUACAAGCAGUGGGAGCACCUUCGGGUGUGACUGCGUACCUUUUGUAUAAUGGGUCAGCGACUUAUAUUCUGUAGCAAGGUUAACCGUAUAGGGGAGCCGCAGGGAAACCGAGUCUUAACUGGGCGUUAAGUUGCAGGGUAUAGACCCGAAACCCGGUGAUCUAGCCAUGGGCAGGUUGAAGGUUGGGUAACACUAACUGGAGGACCGAACCGACUAAUGUUGAAAAAUUAGCGGAUGACUUGUGGCUGGGGGUGAAAGGCCAAUCAAACCGGGAGAUAGCUGGUUCUCCCCGAAAGCUAUUUAGGUAGCGCCUCGUGAACUCAUCUUCGGGGGUAGAGCACUGUUUCGGCUAGGGGGUCAUCCCGACUUACCAACCCGAUGCAAACUACGAAUACCGAAGAAUGUUAUCACGGGAGACACACGGCGGGUGCUAACGUCCGUCGUGAAGAGGGAAACAACCCAGACCGCCAGCUAAGGUCCCAAAGUCACAGUUAAGUGGGAAACGAUGUGGGAAGGCACAGACAGCCAGGAUGUUGGCUUAGAAGCAGCCAUCAUUUAAAGAAAGCGUAAUAGCUCACUGGUCGAGUCGGCCUGCGCGGAAGAUGUAACGGGGCUAAACUGUGCACCGAAGCUGCGGCAGCGACACUAUGUGUUGUUGGGUAGGGGAGCGUUCUGUAAGCCUGCGAAGGUGGCCUGUGAGGGUUGCUGGAGGUAUCAGAAGUGCGAAUGCUGACAUAAGUAACGAUAAUGCGGGUGAAAAGCCCGCACGCCGGAAGACCAAGGGUUCCUGUCCAACGUUAAUCGGGGCAGGGUGAGUCGACCCCUAAGGCGAGGCCGAAAGGCGUAGUCGAUGGGAAACAGGUUAAUAUUCCUGUACUUGGUGUUACUGCGAAGGGGGGACGGAGAAGGCUAUGUUAGCCGGGCGACGGUUGUCCCGGUUUAAGCAUGUAGGCGGAGGUUCCAGGUAAAUCCGGUACCUUAUUAACGCUGAGGUGUGAUGACGAGGCACUACGGUGCUGAAGUAACAAAUGCCCUGCUUCCAGGAAAAGCCUCUAAGCAUCAGGUAACAUUGAAUCGUACCCCAAACCGACACAGGUGGUCAGGUAGAGAAUACCAAGGCGCUUGAGAGAACUCGGGUGAAGGAACUAGGCAAAAUGGUGCCGUAACUUCGGGAGAAGGCACGCUGAUAUGUAGGUGAAGCCCCUGCGGGUGGAGCUGAAAUCAGUCGAAGAUACCAGCUGGCUGCAACUGUUUAUUAAAAACACAGCACUGUGCAAACACGAAAGUGGACGUAUACGGUGUGACGCCUGCCCGGUGCCGGAAGGUUAAUUGAUGGGGUUAUCCGUAAGGAGAAGCUCUUGAUCGAAGCCCCGGUAAACGGCGGCCGUAACUAUAACGGUCCUAAGGUAGCGAAAUUCCUUGUCGGGUAAGUUCCGACCUGCACGAAUGGCGUAAUGAUGGCCAGGCUGUCUCCACCCGAGACUCAGUGAAAUUGAACUCGCUGUGAAGAUGCAGUGUACCCGCGGCAAGACGGAAAGACCCCGUGAACCUUUACUAUAGCUUGACACUGAACAUUGAGCCUUGAUGUGUAGGAUAGGUGGGAGGCUUUGAAGCGUGGACGCCAGUCUGCGUGGAGCCAACCUUGAAAUACCACCCUUUAAUGUUUGAUGUUCUAACGUUGGCCCCUAAUCGGGGUUGCGGACAGUGUCUGGUGGGUAGUUUGACUGGGGCGGUCUCCUCCCAAAGAGUAACGGAGGAGCACGAAGGUUAGCUAAUCCUGGUCGGACAUCAGGAGGUUAGUGCAAUGGCAUAAGCUAGCUUGACUGCGAGCGUGACGGCGCGAGCAGGUGCGAAAGCAGGUCAUAGUGAUCCGGUGGUUCUGAAUGGAAGGGCCAUCGCUCAACGGAUAAAAGGUACUCCGGGGAUAACAGGCUGAUACCGCCCAAGAGUUCAUAUCGACGGCGGUGUUUGGCACCUCGAUGUCGGCUCAUCACAUCCUGGGGCUGAAGUAGGUCCCAAGGGUAUGGCUGUUCGCCAUUUAAAGUGGUACGCGAGCUGGGUUUAGAACGUCGUGAGACAGUUCGGUCCCUAUCUGCCGUGGGCGCUGGAGAAUUGAGGGGGGCUGCUCCUAGUACGAGAGGACCGGAGUGGACGCAUCACUGGUGUUCGGGUUGUCAUGCCAAUGGCAUUGCCCGGUAGCUAAAUGCGGAAGAGAUAAGUGCUGAAAGCAUCUAAGCACGAAACUUGCCCCGAGAUGAGUUCUCCCUGAGACUUUAAGUCUCCUGAAGGAACGUUAAAGACGAUGACGUUGAUAGGUCGGGUGUGUAAGCGUAGCGAUACGUUGAGCUAACCGAUACUAAUGAACCGUGAGGCUUAACCUU
rnacentral:rRNA from 1 species